ensembl:lncRNA
UGAGAAGAGAUUCAAUACCAGCAGUAUUUCAGUGUGGGGUCCAUUGAGGAGACUGUUUCAUGAAGCCAUUAGAAGACUGACUGAGAGGAGCACCAGUCAGACGACCCAUACUGUACUGGCGCUAGGUAACCCAGCGGCAAAGGAGUUUGACCUGUGGCAGGAGGUGUAUCUGUGGCCAAAAGGUGUCCAGUACAAAUCCCGGGCCGGGCGCUGGAAAAAAUGGUAGGAAUUGAUCUGACAACUGGAGGGCCGCUGGGUUUACAUCCUCAAAACAUUCCCCUACUGUUGGUCCCUUGAGCAAGGCCCUUAACCCCAC